rnacentral:tRNA from 1 species
GCGCUGUUGGUGUAGCGGUUAGCAUUGAAGCCUUCCAUCGAGAAUAGCUUUAGUCCGGGGUUCGAAUCCCCGACAGUGCA